rnacentral:ncRNA from 1 species
UAUGCCCGUGUCUGUGGUUGAAAAUCCAGGCCAGUCGCGGGCAAAGGGAUCCACGUAAGCGAAUCUUUCAGCGAUUCGUGAGCAUGGCGCGGCUUAGAAGUAAGUCCUGUGAAAAAUACUAAAAAACACAUGUUCACAGGCGAGUGUGGGGGCAAAGACCAGGUCAGGCGGGCAUA